UACAGAGGGGGCAAGCGUUUGUUCGGAAUUACUGGGCGUAAAGGGCGCGUAGGCGGCCGAUCAAGUCAGGCGUGAAAUUCCCGGGCUCAACCUGGGGGCUGCGCUUGAUACUGAUUGGCUUGAAUGCGGGAGAGGAUAGUGGAAUUCCCAGUGUAGAGGUGAAAUUCGUAGAUAUUGGGAAGAACACCGGUGGCGAAGGCGGCUAUCUGGCCCGUAAUUGACGCUGAGGCGCGAAAGCGUGGGGAGCAAACAGG
rnacentral:rRNA from 1 species